GAAAUGCGAUAAGUAGUGUGAAUUGCAGAAUUUAGCGAAUCAUCGAAUCUUUGAACGCACAUUGCGCCCGCCAGUAUUCUGGCGGGCAUGCCUGUCCGAGCGUCAUUUCAACCAUCAAGCCCCCGGGCUUGUGUUGGGGACCUGCGGCUGCCCGCAGGCCCUGAAAACCAGUGGCGGGCUCGCUGUCACACCGAGCGUAGUAGCAAUCACCUCGCUCAGGGCGUGCUGCGGGUUCCGGCCGUUAAACAGCCUUACAAAACCCAAGGUUGACCUCGGAUCAGGUAGGAAGACCCGCUGAACUUAAGC
rnacentral:misc_RNA from 1 species